AUGAAAUGUCGUGGGUGGAAAGGGGAACCCAAGUGUUCGUUUUGUGGGGAGAGGGAAACUUCCCAGCAUCUCUUUUUUACUUGUCUUGUUGCCAGGAUUACCUGGAAAGUGGUGGGGUGCAUGUUUGGCACUGAAUUAUGCCCUGACAACUUGUGGCAACCAUAUGUUUGGUGUUAUGUGUUUUUCCCUGGUGGCGAUACAUUUUAUACAACUGGCAUUGCGGCUAUGUGCUAGGCUAUAUGGACCUGCCGUAACCGAGCUACUUUUGAGCAUAUUCCUCUCAAAACCCCAUUUGAAUGCAUCUUUUCUGCAUGUACACUUCUUUGCUACUGGGCAGGUAUGAUGAAGUAGGAGGAUGCAGCGAACCCGAGGGCUGGAGGAGCUCUGCUGAAGGACAACGCGUCUCGCAUGAUGAGGAUCUGCGCGGCGGCGUACCAGGAUGAGGGAGCAUGCUGA
rnacentral:rRNA from 1 species